GUAAAAAUGGCGGCCCGUCCCUCACGGCGUCCUGCUUCUCUCUCUCUCUCUGUCUCUCUGCCGGGUUGGGCCUGCUGUGGUGGAAGUGGCAGAGGGUUCCACAGGGGCGGUGCUCGAGACGAAAGCGAGUGAUGUUCUGAGGGCGACGCCACC